CGGCGGGUGUCGCGGCGCGGGUCUUCCCGCACCGGGGCGCUAAGCCCGCCGGCAGCCUACUAUACUCUGUUUCUCUGCGUUGGCAUCUCGAGAAAAAACAAACAAGUUAAAACUUUCAACAACGGAUCUCUUGGUUCUGGCAUCGAUGAAGAACGCAGCGAAAUGCGAUAAGUAAUGCGAAUUGCAGAAUUCCGUGAGUCAUCGAAUCUUUGAACGCACAUGCGCCCGCCAGCAUUCUGGCGGGCAUGCCUGUUCGAGCGUCAUUUCGACCCUCAGGCCCUGCCUGGCGUUGGAGGACUGCGCACGCAGCCUCCCAAAGCGAGCGGCGGCGGCGCCCCGAAACCGAACGCAGUAGUUACCUCUCGUUCUGGGUCCGGGUCGUUGUCCUGCCGGAAAACCCCCAUCUCAUCAAUGGUUGACCUCGAAUCAGGUAGGAAUACCCGCUGAACUUAA
rnacentral:rRNA from 1 species